AAAGAGGUCAGAAAAGGCCUGCAGGGCAAGGCCCACACCUGCCCUCCCCUCCCUCUCCUUCCCCAACCAGAGGCCCUUGGCCAGGCUAGGCUGAGAAACAGCGGGGUCUGGGGGGAGUACUGGGUCCUCCGCACUCCCUGUGUGGGCCUCCUCACAGGGUACGGGCUGGCAUCCCUGCCUUGCCACCUCCCAGGCCUGUGGAGGAGCUUUGAUCCACGUGAACAGCGGGGACGUACUCCGGAGAGGAGGAGGCCCAUGCAUUCCUCAGUGAAGACAAGCUGCCAUGAUCGGGGGUCAGGAAAAUAUUGUCCAGGCCAGAACCUCCUUUCUUCUCCUUUCCUUCAUCUCACUCUCCCCAGGCCAUCUUCCCAGGGGCCACAGUGAUGAUGCAGGGCUGGGCGCUCCGCAAUAGCUGAAUCUGUCAGAAUAGCCCAUUCCUCUGGCAGGUGACAGGAAGCUGACAAAUCAGAAUGCUUUCCUAGGAUUUCUGAAAUUGGAAUCCAGCAGACAAAGGGUCUGUUGGGGGAGUUUCUACAACUCCCAUCAUGCAUCUGAUGCCAUGACAGUUCUGGAGGAACUAAAUAAGAAGAAAAAUCAGGAAAUGGAGAGUCCCACUCAGGGGGAGGAGAUGAGUGAACCACAUCAAUGGGGCUUCACCAAUUCCCACCUUGGGAGGGAUAGAAACCCCUGAUCAUGACUUCCUUGGCACAACUCCUUCUCUGGGUUCACUAGCACUAUCUUCUCAAGCGUGUACUUUCGUUCCAAUAAAUUCCCUGUGCUUUCCUGCAUCAGUCUUGCCCUUGAAUUCUUUCUUGCA